AAAUUCUUUAUAAAGGUAGGGUUGUGACCCCUAAUUAUUAUCGUUCAAUAGUCGAUAGGGUUUGCCUUUCUUUCGCCACGUCCUAUUCUUCAAUUCUAGAUCUCGAUCGGUUGUGAAUUCUUAGUCUAGCUUCGAUAGAUACCAGAUCUGUGUAGUCCGAUGGAGACCUUCACGGCGACGGUGGUUUUGAUUUCAGAUCUCGAUUGAUUGUAACUUCUUCGUCUAGAUUCCAUCGAUACCAGAUCUGUGAGGUUCCGAUGGAAACCUUUUCGCAGACGGUAGUUUUUAUCAGAUCUGAAUCUUCGUCCAUAAGAUCUACGGUGCAGAGGUGUGAUAUUCACGUUUAUCUUGGUGUUUGGAAUCUAAUCGUCAAGAAGUCCUUUGUUCUUUCUUAAAUCCAGGAUUUCGAGAUAUUUUUCUUGCAGGUACGGUGUUAGAUCGAUGGCCAGAUCGUAGAUCCAGUGUUGAAUAUCUAGAAGCUGCUAUGAUCAAUGGAUCAAUAUUCACGUCUUCCAGAUUCGUACAUGUAUAGAUCUCGGAUCUUGUAAUUAUGUAUUUCGUUGUGAGUUUUAUGAGGAGAAGUUUAAUGGAUGUAUGUAGGUUGUUUCAGGAUUGUAUGUCUCGAUUCGGUAACCGUUUUGAGGAUUGAAUCCUGAUUGAUCUUGUCAUCCGGCCUUUGCCAUGUCAGGUGCGCUUGCUUGGCAGGUCAAAAAAUAUAAUAAAAAAGUUUGGUUGGUUUUUGAGAGAGAUCGCACGGGAUUUUUGCCCGGGAUCUUCUCUCGUGUGGUGUCUGCUUUGCUCUCUUUCCUUAUCUCUAUUGUUUCGAUUUGUUUGACACGUUAUAACGUCUCUACGAGGAAUGGAUUAAUCGGAGGAUUUCUCACGCUUCAUAACCAAUCACAUAUCGAGGUAUUAUUAUCCAAUCAUAUAUCGAGGUAUUAUUAUCCACAAUUUCAGUCUAAUCAGUUUGUCGAUAUGGAUUUCUGUCCAGUUAAAGUACAACAGGUAAAAUGAAUUUGGAAUGGCGUGUUAAUCAUUAUUGCUCUAUAGGUUUAAUGUGAAUAUUAAACUUUAUUUAUCCGAUUAUGCAUAGAUCAUGCAUGCCACGGUUAACCUCAAUCAAUUUUUGUUGUAUAUGAUUCAUCACUAAAUUCAGUCAAUUUGGAACCAAUUUUUACAGUAUAUGAUUCAUUACUAAAUUCCAUCAAUUUAGAACCAAUUUUUAUUGUAUAUGAUUCGUUACUAAAUUCUAUCAAUUUAGAACUACCAAAUUCCAUCCAUUUAGAUUCGUCACCAAAUUCAACUCUUUUCCAACUGAUUCAAAGUAUUGUAUAUGGUUCGCUCGGUUGUACAAAUUCUUAAUUGUCAUUCACAUAUUUCUAUUCUGUACAAUUCUAAUUGCUACUGUGUUAUAUAUAUAUAUAUAUAUAUAUAUAUAUAUAUAUAUAUAUAUAUAUAUAUCCGUUUCACAUAAAAUAUUUACAUAUAUAGUUUUAGAAUGUUGUAAGAGUUGCCAUAUCUCCUUUUCCAGAAAUUUGCAGUAUUUGUUAUCCGGAGAAUAUCUUUAUUAAUGCCUCAUGGCAUUGCAUCUCCUACUUUGAAGAUGAAGACAAGGCUUCAUAUGAACUUUUAGCAAUUACAAAAUAUGAAAUUCUAGAAGAGGGAGGCUGUUAAAGCUGUUGGUGAAAUUUGAUGAAGCAUUCAAUACCUUUAUUCAUUGAAGCAUGCAUACUCGUCAAUCUGUAAGUGUUGCACCAGCAGAAUGAGAAUUCUAAACAAAGGCUCAUCCCGAGGAGUACUACUUUGAACGAAUACCAACCGUCUUAUUUCGAGGCGUAUUACUUUGAAUGAAUCUAACAGUUGUGCACUGACCAGGUAAAAUAUUGUACACUUAGCCAUGGCUUUCCUACAAUUUGUUAAAUACAUUUCAUUUGUUUUAUACAUUUGAGCGUGGUGACUUCUUAUUUAUGUUAUGUGCCUCUUUUGGUAUAUUUCCUUAUGUACACGAAAGAUCUGUAGCUCAAUUCGGUAGAGCGCUCUGAGUAUUUUGUAUAUAAAUCUCUGAGAUGUGUUGGUUCAAAUCCA